rnacentral:rRNA from 1 species
GACGAACGCUGGCGGCGUGCUUAACACAUGCAAGUCGAACGGAAAGGCCCUGCUUUUGUGGGGUGCUCGAGUGGCGAACGGGUGAGUAACACGUGAGUAACCUGCCCUUGACUUUGGGAUAACUUCAGGAAACUGGGGCUAAUACCGGAUAGGAGCUCCUGCUGCAUGGUGGGGGUUGGAAAGUUUCGGCGGUUGGGGAUGGACUCGCGGCUAUCAGCUUGUUGGUGGGGUAGUGGCUUACCAAGGCUUUGACGGGUAGCCGGCCUGAGAGGGUGACCGGCCACAUUGGGACUGAGAUACGGCCCAGACUCCUACGGGAGGCAGCAGUGGGGAAUAUUGCACAAUGGGCGGAAGCCUGAUGCAGCAACGCCGCGUGCGGGAUGACGGCCUUCGGGUUGUAAACCGCUUUCGCCUAUGACGAAGCGUGAGUGACGGUAAUGGGUAAAGAAGCACCGGCUAACUACGUG